UGGCUGAAGCAACGAAAUAGACAGAGAUAACUGAUCUGGUAAAGCGUGACAGAUCCAUGUGGCAAUAAAUCAGGAAAGCAUUCCUUCAGACAACUGGACAUCGACUGUUGGAAAGAGACUUUUCAUCUGAUCGGCAAACUGUGAUGGAAGAUUCUACAGAGUUCAUUCGAUACAGAAGAUUAACAGACUUACAAAGAAAUAAAAGAUUGACACUAACAUACAUAUAUAUUCCUAAAUAUUAAUGAAGAAAACAGACAAUGAAAAGUUAUUUAACAGUUAUGAGUAUUAAUACCAAGAGAGACUACUUAUAACUAUAUAACAC